GACGAACGCUGGCGGCGUGCCUAAUACAUGCAAGUCGAACGAACUCUGGUAUUGAUUGGUGCUUGCAUCAUGAUUUACAUUUGAGUGAGUGGCGAACUGGUGAGUAACACGUGGGAAACCUGCCCAGAAGCGGGGGAUAACACCUGGAAACAGAUGCUAAUACCGCAUAACAACUUGGACCGCAUGGUCCGAGUUUGAAAGAUGGCUUCGGCUAUCACUUUUGGAUGGUCCCGCGGCGUAUUAGCUAGAUGGUGGGGUAACGGCUCACCAUGGCAAUGAUACGUAGCCGACCUGAGAGGGUAAUCGGCCACAUUGGGACUGAGACACGGCCCAAACUCCUACGGGAGGCAGCAGUAGGGAAUCUUCCACAAUGGACGAAAGUCUGAUGGAGCAACGCCGCGUGAGUGAAGAAGGGUUUCGGCUCGUAAAACUCUGUUGUUAAAGAAGAACAUAUCUGAGAGUAACUGUUCAGGUAUUGACGGUAUUUAACCAGAAAGCCACGGCUAACUACGUGCCAGCAGCCGCGGUAAUACGUAGGUGGCAAGCGUUGUCCGGAUUUAUUGGGCGUAAAGCGAGCGCAGGCGGUUUUUUAAGUCUGAUGUGAAAGCCUUCGGCUCAACCGAAGAAGUGCAUCGGAAACUGGGAAACUUGAGUGCAGAAGAGGACAGUGGAACUCCAUGUGUAGCGGUGAAAUGCGUAGAUAUAUGGAAGAACACCAGUGGCGAAGGCGGCUGUCUGGUCUGUAACUGACGCUGAGGCUCGAAAGUAUGGGUAGCAAACAGGAUUAAAUACCCCGGUAGUCCAUACCGUAAACGAUGAAUGCUAAGUGUUGGAGGGUUUCCGCCCUUCAGUGCUGCAGCUAACGCAUUAAGCAUUCCGCCUGGGGAGUACGGCCGCAAGGCUGAAACUCAAAGGAAUUGACGGGGGCCCGCACAAGCGGUGGAGCAUGUGGUUUAAUUCGAAGCUACGCGAAGAACCUUACCAGGUCUUGACAUACUAUGCAAAUCUAAGAGAUUAGACGUUCCCUUCGGGGACAUGGAUACAGGUGGUGCAUGGUUGUCGUCAGCUCGUGUCGUGAGAUGUUGGGUUAAGUCCCGCAACGAGCGCAACCCUUAUUAUCAGUUGCCAGCAUUAAGUUGGGCACUCUGGUGAGACUGCCGGUGACAAACCGGAGGAAGGUGGGGAUGACGUCAAAUCAUCAUGCCCCUUAUGACCUGGGCUACACAUGUGCUACAAUGGAUGGUACAACGAGUUGCGAACUCGCGAGAGUAAGCUAAUCUCUUAAAGCCAUUCUCAGUUCGGAUUGUAGGCUGCAACUCGCCUACAUGAAGUCGGAAUCGCUAGUAAUCGCGGAUCAGCAUGCCGCGGUGAAUACGUUCCCGGGCCUUGUACACACCGCCCGUCACACCAUGAGAGUUUGUAACACCCAAAGUCGGUGGGGUAACCUUUUAGGAACCAGCCGCCUAAGGUGGGACAGAUGAUUAGGGUG
rnacentral:rRNA from 1 species